ensembl:lncRNA
GUCCUGUAUGUGUAGGGUUUAGGUGAAACAGGUACCUGUCAGGUAGGGGACUUACAGAGAACAAGAGAACAGCUAUCUUGAGGGGCCUGACCAAACAUAUGGGUUCCUUAUUCAUUGCCCAGAUAUUAGGGAAACAGCCAAGGAAAAAAAAGACAUUGUUCUCAUGGAUCUUAUGUUCUAGUGGGGGAAAAGACAGUGUACAAGCCAGUGUAUAAGAAGAUAAGUACUGGGGAAGAGGGGAAAGUACAGGGUAAAGAUAUUUGGGGACUACUGACUAGGGCCAGGAAAGGAAAAGCAACUUAAAAGAGGUUGACAAAUGUAAGCCCCCUUGAGAAGGAGGCAUCUGAGAAAUGAAGUGGAGGGGUGCAGCAUCUGGAGGAAAAUAUUCCAGACAGAGGGAAUAGCUGCCAGCACAAAGGCCCCAGACUAGGAGCAUGGCUGGUAUGUUGUGGCUGAACAGAGUGAGUGAGGUGAGGAGACAAGGUGAGCAGAAGAGAUGAUCAGAAAAAAAGGGAUAAAGGAGGCCUCAGUGGUUAUUAUGAGGAUGAAACAAGAGCUGGAGAUCCCCACACUCAGGCUACCCCCAGCAGGCGCCAGGGCCCCAAGAUGAUGAUGGUGAAGGCCCAGAGGUGCUGAAACUUCUAGGCAGAGUCUGUGAGCAGGCAGACAGCAUCUCACCUUGCCUAAACCCCUCCAGGGACUGCUGAAGGCCUCAGUUGCUGCCCCUGGGCCCCUGGUUGGACCAGCACUUAGCCCCGAAAUAAAAUCCCAUUUCAUCCCCCUGUAGGAAAAGCCAGGCUUGCAAAGCCACCAGCUUCAGUGGAAUGGGAGGGCCCACUAUUAGCCUAUGAUACGCAGGCUUCCUCUGGGUGAUUUUCUAGUUUACCCACCAUUGCUCUGAACAGUGGAGAGAGGCUUUUUAAAGGAAAUUAAUUUUUCAGCCACUACUGAAAACAAUGUUGAAAGCAAGCUCAGGCUUCCAGGGAGUUAAAUGUUUGUUUAAAAU